AUGAGGAAAGACUACAUGUAGAUGACCAAAUUGUCUCGUCACUGCCUGAGGAUGUUUAUGCAUAUCUGAAAAGUGUGGAGAAGUGGCCAUUGAGUGUUGGCAUCCAAAUUGAGAAUCAAAGAAAGGAUGUCAAGGAGUUAUUGUUGGACAUGGCAUGUAUAAAAAAAUGCAACAAAAUCUUCGAUGUCAAUCAUGUCGAGUCCUCCGAAAGAAACUCAAUGAUAGAAAGGGUGGCAAUAGUGUCCAGGAAUAAUGGAUUAUAUUUGAGCGUAAGAAGGGUAGUACGCUGAAACAAUGAAAUCGUUUACAGAAAAAAUGUGGAUGUUCCCAGCUUGGAGAAGAUGAAACCAUAGUAUUCUGCAGCUAGAAGAUAUUGGCUAGCUCUCUGAGUGAUGGCAGAUAUUAGUUAAAUUUAUAGAGAUCCCAUAGAAUGUGUUAUUCAUAAUUUGUUGUUCAUCAUAGCAUAACAUGAAAUCAUUUAAUUGUUUUUUUUUUAAUUGAAUAAUGUCUUAUACUAGUAGUAGUAGUAGUAACAGUUGUUUAUACUUAUAUUAUUUCAUGUACAAUGUAGGUUUUCCCAGCUUGAUAUUAUUCAUGUAAAGUCUGAAAUAGAAAUUUUGAAUUUGAA